rnacentral:rRNA from 1 species
AGAGUUUGAUCAUGGCUCAGGAUGAACGCCGGCGGUGUGCCUAAUACAUGCAAGUCGUACGCACUGGCCCAACUGAUUGAUGGUGCUUGCACCUGAUUGACGAUGGAUCACCAGUGAGUGGCGGACGGGUGAGUAACACGUAGGUAACCUGCCCCGGAGCGGGGGAUAACAUUUGGAAACAGAUGCUAAUACCGCAUAACAACAAAAGCCACAUGGCUUUUGUUUGAAAGAUGGCUUUGGCUAUCACUCUGGGAUGGACCUGCGGUGCAUUAGCUAGUUGGUAAGGUAACGGCUUACCAAGGCGAUGAUGCAUAGCCGAGUUGAGAGACUGAUCGGCCACAAUGGAACUGAGACACGGUCCAUACUCCUACGGGAGGCAGCAGUAGGGAAUCUUCCACAAUGGGCGCAAGCCUGAUGGAGCAACACCGCGUGAGUGAAGGAGGGUUUCGGCUCGUAAAGCUCUGUUGUUGGAGAAGAACGUGCGUGAGAGUAACUGUUCACGCAGUGACGGUAUCCAACCAGAAAGUCACGGCUAACUACGUGCCAGCAGCCGCGGUAAUACGUAGGUGGCAAGCGUUAUCCGGAUUUAUUGGGCGUAAAGCGAGCGCAGGCGGUUGCUUAGGUCUGAUGUGAAAGCCUUCGGCUUAACCGAAGAAGUGCAUCGGAAACCGGGCGACUUGAGUGCAGAAGAGGACAGUGGAACUCCAUGUGUAGCGGUGGAAUGCGUAGAUAUAUGGAAGAACACCAGUGGCGAAGGCGGCUGUCUGGUCUGCAACUGACGCUGAGGCUCGAAAGCAUGGGUAGCGAACAGGAUUAGAUACCCUGGUAGUCCAUGCCGUAAACGAUGAGUGCUAGGUGUUGGAGGGUUUCCGCCCUUCAGUGCCGGAGCU